rnacentral:tRNA from 1 species
GCCGCGAUAGCUCAGCCUGGGAGAGCACAUGGCUGAAGACCAUGGUGUCCGGGGCUCAAAUCCCCGUCGCGGCA